rnacentral:rRNA from 1 species
CCUACGGGUGGCAGCAGUGGGGAAUAUUGGACAAUGGGCGAAAGCCUGAUCCAGCCAUGCCGCGUGUGUGAAGAAGGCCUUCGGGUUGUAAAGCACUUUCAGCGGGGAAGAAAGCCUUGGGGCUAAUACCCUCGAGGAAGGACAUCACCCACAGAAGAAGCACCGGCUAACUCCGUGCCAGCAGCCGCGGUAAUACGGAGGGUGCGAGCGUUAAUCGGAAUUACUGGGCGUAAAGCGCGCGUAGGCGGUCUGAUAAGCCGGUUGUGAAAGCCCCGGGCUCAACCUGGGAACGGCAUCCGGAACUGUCAGGCUAGAGUGCAGGAGAGGAAGGUAGAAUUCCCGGUGUAGCGGUGAAAUGCGUAGAGAUCGGGAGGAAUACCAGUGGCGAAGGCGGCCUUCUGGACUGAGACUGACGCUGAGGUGCGAAAGCGUGGGUAGCAAACAGGAUUAGAUACCCUGGUAGUC